ACCAUGCAUUGUCAAUGCUCAACAAAUAGAUCGUCAUUCUACGGUACGGUAUAAAUACCACUGCUGCAUUGUAGAGCAAGUACAGUAACUGCAAGAUUGCAAUAUGAAGUUAACAGUAGUGUGCCUAAUCGUGCUAAUCGUGGUUGCCGCCUUGGUUCAGCAAUCUGAACAAUUCUUGUCUAGAAAACGCGGUAGAAGAUGCAGAUAUAAAACGACUACAACAGCAACAACAUCAAUAACAGCAGCAACGGGUAGAAGAAAACGCGAAAUUAUGGAUGCUCCAUUUUUACCAGCAUUUGAAUAACGUGUAAAAGAUGAAAAAGACCAAUUGCUGCGUAUAGAGAUAAUGUUAAAAUGUUAAAACACAAAAUGCUUCACAAGCACACCACUUGUAGUUCCACUGCACUGAAAAGAUAAAUUGACACCUAGAAUUCCUAGAAAAAGAUGUGCUCUUAAGAAUGUGGAAGAUGACGUUAUUUUGUGAAAUCAUUAAUUAUUCUCAUUAAACAACAUCGACGUGUGCUACGCAAAUAGUGAAACAAAUGCGGUACCAUGCAUUGUCAAUGCUGAACAAAUAGAUCGUCAUUCCACGGUAUGGUAUAAAUACCACUGCUGCAUUGUAGAGCAAGUACAGUAACUGCAAGAUUGCAAUAUGAAGUUAACAGUAGUGUGCCUAAUCUUGCUAGUCGUGAUUGUCGCCUUGGUUCAGGCGGAAAUUCAGGUGAAAGGUCAGGUGGAAAAUCAGGUGGAAAAUCAGAUGGAACGUCAGAAGAGACACAUUUGUAAUCGUACAAUGCGUAGAAAUAGACGUAGAGGUAGAAGAAGAAGAAGAAGAACAACAACAACAACAACAACAACAGCAGCAGCAGUACCGGAUAGAAGAAAACGCGAAAUUAUGGAUGCUCCAUUUUUACCAGCAUUUGAAUAACGUGUAAAAGAUGAAAAAGACCAAUUGCUGCGUAUAGAGAUAAUGUUAAAAUGUUAAAACACAAAAUGCUUCACAAGCACACCACUUGUAGUUCCACUGCACUGAAAAGAUAAAUUAACACCUGGAAUUCCUGGAAAAAGUAGUCUGUAAUAAAGAAAUGUUUAAAAUGCA